rnacentral:rRNA from 1 species
GAUCCUGGCUCAGGAUAAACGCUGGCGGCGUGCUUAACACAUGCAAGUCGAACGAAGUUUUUCUUUCGGGAGGAACUUAGUGGCGGACGGGUGAGUAACGCGUGGGUAACCUGCCCUGUACAGGGGGACAACAGCUGGAAACGGCUGCUAAUACCGCAUAAGCCCUUAGCACUGCAUGGUGCAUAGGGAAAAGGAGCAAUCCGGUACAGGAUGGACCCGCGUCUGAUUAGCCAGUUGGCAGGUAACGCU